UUCACCUUGAUGUCAGACCCCCCUUUACGAUGGGGAACUGAAGCCGUUUUCUCUGCUCUCUUCAAAGCCACCAGACUCCUUUGACAAAAAUAGACAUUUUACCUGGAAGAACACAGGAGUUGCUGCUCCACCGCUGCCUCCAUCGCUUCAUUUGGUUGUUAGUUUUAAUGGUUCCUAACCGUUUAAAACAAUAAAGUCACACGCUAACACAAACUAACUAAGCGAUGGAGGCAGAGGUGGAGCAGCAACUCCCUUGUUCUGCGAGGUAAAAUGUCUGUUUUUGUCAAAGGAGUCUGGUGGCUUUGAAGAGACCAGAGCUAAAGGCGUCAGUUC